GGACAGAGGAUGACAAGGAGCAGAGUGGUAGCCAACUCAUAUGCGCUGCACAAACUGCAUCCCAUGUUUAGAAAAACGUCAAAGGAAGGCUUCCGUCCUCGCCAGCACCCGGGAAAAGCAGCUCCCUUACAGUGCAGGCAUUGAAGGUAUCCUUGGAGAGCCUCAGAUGGUGCCAGAGGAUGUGGUCUGAACAUUCACUGAGCUACCUGUUUCCAGCCUGCAGAAUUAGAGAAGAAGAUUUGGAAAACAAAACCCAGAAUGAACAAACAAAACAAAACACAAAAUAUCCCUUUCCAAUUUUGAAAGGAAAACCUCUUAAGGGACAGAAGCUGAUGAACAAGAUCUCACCAUUAUACAAUGAUGAAGCUGGCUCGCGGAUGAGAAAACGGCUACUAGGAAGUCACGAUUAUUGUUGUACAUUAUUUGUGUUUAGUGCCAGAGAAACGAUUUUCUUUCUGUAAUAUCUUUGCCUCAAUAAAAUUAAGAACGUAGUGUAAGAUCCAAAUUUCCCCCAAAGGGGUCAGCUUAAAAAAAUGUACUAGCUCUACUGCCAUGGGGAUUUAUAGUUUCUCCUUUAAUAGUUAUAGUCUGAUAUACCAUAAGUUUUGUUGGUCACUAGGUGGAUUCAUUUAUCUUUCUUUUGAAACACACGUUGAAUGUUUUAAGCAAAUUCUGGCCCUUCAAUUGAUUGAAUUUUGCAUUGAGGAAUGAAUUGUUGAAUGACUUUGGAAUAUGUCUCCAAAACAGGAAGACCUUAAAAUAAAAACAGAUAUUGAAGACUGUA